rnacentral:tRNA from 1 species
CAGGGCGUGCCGUGGCGGCCGUUCCCUCUUUGACGGAGAGGGUGGGGUCUUUCUGGGCCCCCGCCAGAGCAGUUGCAGACCGCACGCUCCGA